rnacentral:rRNA from 1 species
UACGUAAGUGGCGAGCGUUAUCCGGAAUUACUGGGCGUAAAGCGUGCGUAGGCGGUUUAGUGUGUGGGAAUUGAAAGCCCGGGGCUCAACUCCGGAUCCGGUUCCCAAACUGCUAGACUCGAGCGUAUCAGAGGAGAGCGGAAUUCCCGGUGUAGCGGUAAUAUGCGUAGAUAUCGGGAGGAACACCAGUGGCGAAGGCGGCUCUCUGGGGUAUUGCUGAUGCUGAGGCACGAAAGCCAGGGGAGCGAACGGG